CUCGCUAGUCCACAAGCAAUCAUAUUACAGUAUGCCGUCAUCACCUCUCCUUCCGUUCCUCUUUCUCGAAUCUUCUCUCUCCACCGCUACCCUCCAUGAACGCCAUCGCUACCGCCCUAACGCCGUCGCCGAUGCCUCCGUCCGCCAAAACCCUGCGGGUGGUCGUCAAGGGGCGGGUGCAGGGUGUUUUCUUCCGCGAUUGGACGGUCCAGACCGCCCGGGAACUCGGUCUCAACGGUUGGGUCCGCAACCGGAGGGAUGGCUCCGUCGAGGCGCUCUUCUCCGGCGACCCCACCGCUGUCGACGAGAUGGUCGAGAGGCGCUGCAGGGUCGGGCCCCCCGCCGCCGUGGUCACUGCCCUCAGCGCCUUCCCCUCCGAAGAUGACCCUGGCCAAGGCUUCCAACGCAAACCCACGGUCUGAGUAGAAGCAUCUGAUUCGAGUUGAGCUUACAAAGAGCCUGAGCUACUGCAAGGUCUUCAUCAAGCAGAGUCGGUUCUAUGGAGCCGAUAAUAGUUGGGCUUUCGUUGGAAUAAAGAAUCUUCCUUCUUCUGCAUCACCUCCGGCCUUGGUCGACCUAUUCGUAUUGACCCUCGAUCCCUCCGCUUUGAGAGGGGCAGAUUCACUCAUGUUUGUAUUGAGAAAGACAUUACCAAGCCCCUCAUUCAAGGUAAUUGGUUUGGAGAAUCUUGUUCGAGCCUCUUUCAAGUGAUUUCAUAUGAAAAGUUUGCCCCACUGACAUUAAUUCCUCCACUACUCCUUGUCCCUGUUCCUCUGCCACAGGAGGUUCAACCAGAUUCGGCUGAUGAGAAAGGGAACGAUAAUCCAAUUUUUGAUCCAUGGAGAAAAGUUCUUCAUCGGCGACCUUUUAACAAAAAAUCUCUUCUUCCCUCAACCAGUCUUUUCUACAGAUUCUGCUACUUGUCCCACCCCUUCAGCUAUUGUUCUAAUGCCAUCAGCUGCAACCAACAAGGUUAUUGCACUUAAUGCCAUCCCAAAACAGACAACGCAUGCACCUGAUUUCACCAACCUCGAGUCUCAGCAGGCUAAUGGUGCGAAUUCAGAUCCGACCCAUUCUGCAAUUAAUACUUGUCCCAAGGAAGUAAUGCCAGGUGAAAAAGAUGAUGUGUCCAUCUUACAGCAUGCUUCCACCACAUACAUUCGCUCCACCCUCUAACUCAUCGCCUCUUUCUUUUACUUCUCCUUUACUUUCUUCCUCUUCCACUUCAACGGAAACCAGUGGCUCUCCUGAGGCACUCGUAUUCUUACUAAAGAUCAACUUUGUGGGGGCGUCCUUUGCAAAUGAUGAUCCAAGCACCGGGGCCUGCAGACUCCAACCUUCUUCGAGACUUCUUGGAUCAACGGAGAAAAAAAAUUCUUCCGGCUCUAAAAUCACCAUAAGCUCUGCUGUCUGCUAUUACUUUUCCUUCUGAUGGAUUUUUACCGAAUACUCCCUCUAGUUAAAAUGAUUGUUCUAUUUUAGAAUUAUUAUGACA